rnacentral:rRNA from 1 species
CAGCAGCCGCGGUAAUACGAAGGGUGCAAGCGUUACUCGGAAUUACUGGGCGUAAAGCGUGCGUAGGUGGCGGUUUAAGUCCGUUGUGAAAGCCCUGGGCUCAACCUGGGAAUUGCAGUGGAUACUGGAUCACUAGAGUGUGGUAGAGGAUAGUGGAAUUUCCGGUGUAGCAGUGAAAUGCGUAGAGAUCGGAAGGAACAUCUGUGGCGAAGGCGACUAUCUGGGCCAACACUGACACUGAGGCACGAAAGCGUGGGGAGCAAACAGGAUUAGAUACCCCCGUAGUCCCUGUCUCUUAUAC